UCUUCGGAGAGUUUGAUCCUGGCUCAGGAUGAACGCUGGCGGCGUGCCUAAUACAUGCAAGUCGAGCGAACUGAUUAGAAGCUUGCUUCUAUGACGUUAGCGGCGGACGG
rnacentral:rRNA from 6 species